rnacentral:rRNA from 1 species
UAGGGAAUCUUCCGCAAUGGACGCAAGUCUGACGGAGCAACGCCGCGUGAGUGAAGAAGGAUUUCGGUUCGUAAAACUCUGUUGUUAGAGAAGAACAGCGCAUAGAGUAACUGUUAUGCGUGUGACGGUAUCUAACCAGAAAGCCACGGCUAACUACGUGCCAGCAGCCGCGGUAAUACGUAGGUGGCAAGCGUUGUCCGGAUUUAUUGGGCGUAAAGCGAGCGCAGGCGGUCAAUUAAGUCUGAUGUGAAAGCCCCCGGCUCAACCGGGGGGGGUCAUUGGAAACUGGUUGACUUGAGUGCAGAAGAGGAGAGUGGAAUUCCAUGUGUAGCGGUGAAAUGCGUAGAUAUAUGGAGGAACACCAGUGGCGAAGGCGACUCUCUGGUCUGUAACAGACGCUGAGGCUCGAAAGCGUGGGUAGCAAACAGG